GCCCGGCUAGCUCAGUCGGUAGAGCACGGAACUCUUAAUCUCAGGGUCGUGGGUUCAGGAAGGCCACGUUGGGCG